GACGAACGCUGGCGGCGUGCCUAAUACAUGCAAGUAGGACGCACAGUCUAUACCGUAGCUUGCUACACCAUAGGCUGUGAGUUGCGAACGGGUGAGUAACGCGUAGGUAACCUGCCUAUUAGAGGGGGAUAACUAUUGGAAACGAUAGCUAAUACCGCAUAACAGUAUGUAACACAUGUUAGAUGCUUGAAAGAUGCGAUUGCAUCGCUAGUAGAUGGACCUGCGUUGUAUUAGCUAGUAGGUAGGGUAAAGGCCUACCUAGGCAACGAUACAUAGCCGACCUGAGAGGGUGAUCGGCCACACUGGGACUGAGACACGGCCCAGACUCCUACGGGAGGCAGCAGUAGGGAAUCUUCGGCAAUGGGGGGAACCCUGACCGAGCAACGCCGCGUGAGUGAAGAAGGUUUUCGGAUCGUAAAGCUCUGUUGUUAAGGAAGAACGAGUGUGAGAAUGGAAAGUUCAUGCUGUGACG
rnacentral:rRNA from 1 species